rnacentral:rRNA from 1 species
ACUCCUACGGGAGGCAGCAGUGGGGAAUUUUGGACAAUGGGGGCAACCCUGAUCCAGCAAUGCCGCGUGAGUGAAGAAGGCCUUCGGGUUGUAAAGCUCUUUUGUCAGGGAAGAAACGGUGGUGGCGAAUAACUACUACUAAUGACGGUACCUGAAGAAUAAGCACCGGCUAACUACGUGCCAGCAGCCGCGGUAAUACGUAGGGUGCAAGCGUUAAUCGGAAUUACUGGGCGUAAAGCGUGCGCAGGCGGUUGUGUAAGUCAGAUGUGAAAUCCCCGGGCUCAACCUGGGAAUUGCAUUUGAGACUGCACGGCUAGAGUGUGUCAGAUGGGGGUAGAAUUCCACGUGUAGCAGUGAAAUGCGUAGAUAUGUGGAGGAAUACCGAUGGCGAAGGCAGCCCCCUGGGAUAACACUGACGCUCAUGCACGAAAGCGUGGGGAGCAAACAGGAUUAGAAACCCCGGUAGUCCC